ACUAUAAUAUAAAUUUAAGUACACAGUAAUAAUUUAGACGACAGUUCAAGUACAAAAGUUAUAGCCUAUAAUUGUUUUUGAAUUUGGCGCGCGGCGCGCUAGUGUUGACUCACGUAGUUACAACGUCACGACCGUCGUCCCUCGCGCUAGUCUCGAGUUCGCGCUCAAUCGGCUCCGCAUUUUUCGCGCGUUUUUUCCUGUUAAGAAUGAAUUCCGCGUACGAACGAAUAUCGGAGCAUCGAAUCGUGCCACGGGCAAUUAUCAGGAAGUAUUUCUUCAAUCAUUGAACAUUCUGUUUAUUAAGAGGUAUGUAUCAUUUCGCGUCAUUUAUCUAUACGAAUCACAUCGCGUUCAAGUUUUUGCGUUUUGGGAAAAUUUUCGGAGGUUAGAUAUUUAAUUAGUAAAUAAAUCAUGGUCUUCAGGUGUCGUGUGUGAACCGCGCGAAGUUUGCACCGCGCGAUUUGUUGUAUACGUCACAGCGUACUAACUUCAUUACACAUCGCGAAUGUCGAGAGUGGCACACAGUUAUUUAUCGUCGUUAUUUAUCUGUUAUUAUUUAUGUAAUUGGGCGCGUAGUGCGUGCAAUCGGUGUCGAAAAUGUCGUACAAAGUAACGCGCGAUUGUUCUAUCGUAUUAUUUAUGCGCGAAUCGAAAUCAGUAGUGCUGGUCAAUGAAAAUGCAUCCCGGCGAACGACUUUCCAAAACGAUGCAACAAUCAACGAGAAUAUGGCGACGUUUCAACAACCGGUGAGUAAUUUGAUUCUAAUAUUUAUCUGAUUAUCAUCGACUGAAAUGCAUAGCCAGCCUAUGAAAACAGCUAAUAUAAUAAUAAUAUAAUAUUUUUUAGGAAAGAGUGACGCGCAACAAUCGACGAGAAUAUGGUAAUGUUUCAACGACCGAUUAAUUUUCCCAUAAAAGCAGUACAUGAGCGUGGUCGUUGAAAUCAUGUGAAAGAGAUCGGUCGAAUUCGGGAGUGUCGUGAAAAAUAUCGCGCGUUUACUUUUAUCAUUUCGCGGAUAUAUAAUUUAUCGCGUUUUAAGUUCAAAAGUGCCAUAAAAAGUGUCGCGUCUCCGUUUUUAUCGCGGUUGAUUCGCGCGCGAUCAUUACCCGCUUUUUCGUGAGUAGAUGCAGUGCGCGAGUGCAACAAAUCCUGAAGGAGGCAAACAACAAUCUGAGAGGAGGAGGAGGCCUGGGAGGCAUCGGGCGACGACAGACCAAUCUUACGAUUAACCUAUGUAAGUUAACGUAAGUCAGCUUUAUUAUGCAGCGGUCGGUGAGUGAUAACUUUUUAUUUUGUAGUAAAAAAGGCUUAAUAGAUAUUUA